ACUGCACCGUAUUCUGAACUGUUUGAUCCGAGUUGUGCCGAUUUGUUCACUUGUGCCAGCUACUUUUCACUUUUAUGCUGUAGCUCACUUUAAUAUCUCGUGAUAUCACCAUGUCGGUGGCGUUUGCUCCUCACAGACAGCGUGGGAAGGGCGAUAUAACGCCCGCCGGAAUACAAAAGUUACUCGAUGAAAACAACCAGCUCAUCCAGUGUAUCAUGGACUUCCAGAGUAAAGGCAAAACAGCAGAGUGUUCACAGUAUCAACAGAUGCUGCACAGAAAUCUAGUUUACCUGGCCACGAUAGCAGACUCCAAUCAAAACAUGCAGUCUCUCCUCCCUGCGCCGCCCACUCAGAACAUGCCCAUGGGCCCCGGCGGGAUGAACCAGAGCGGACCCCCCCCUCAGCCCCCUCACGGUCACAGCAUGCCCUCUGAGGGGAUGGUCAGCGGCGGCCCCCCAGCCCCACACAUGCAGAACCAGAUGAAUGGACAGAUGCCCGGCCCUAAUCACAUGCCCAUGCAAGGUCCCGGUCCAGGCCCCAACCAGCCCCCCAACAUGCCCAGUGGCUCGAUGAACAUGCCCCCCAGCAGCCACGGCUCCAUGGGCGGCUACAAUCACGCCGUGCCGUCCUCUCAGGGCAUGCCAGCGCAGAGCCAAAUGAACAUGACCCAAGGCCAGCCCAUGGGGAACUACGGCCCGCGUCCCAACAUGAACAUGCAGCCCAAUCAAGGCCCCAUGAUGCACCAGCAGCCCCCCUCGCAGCAGUAUAACAUGCCCCCUGGUGGUGGCGGUCAGCACUACCAAGGGCAGCAGAAUCCAAUGGGCAUGAUGGGCCAGGUGAACCAGGGGAACCACGUGAUGGGACAGAGGCCCAUGCCGCCCUACAGGCCUCCGCAGCAAGGACCCCCUCAGCAGUACCCAGGGCAGGAAGACUACUAUGGGGACCAGUACAGUCACGCAGGACAGGGAGCCUCAGAAGGUAACGCCCAGUACGGCCAGCAGCAGGAAGCGUACCAGCAGGGCCCCCCGCAGCAGCAGGGCUACCCGCCCCAGCAGCAGUACCCGGGUCAGCAGGGCUACCCGCCACAGCAGCAGGCCUACGGUCCCUCUCAAAGCGCCCCGGGACAGUAUCCCAACUACCCCCAGGGGCAGGGGCAGCAGUACGGGGGCUACCGCCCCCCUCAGCCCGGACCGCCGCAGGGCCAGCAGCAGCGCCCGUACGGCUACGACCAGGGGCACAUGAGGAAAUAAAGACCCGGGGAUUUGAACCCCUGACUAGCUCUGUAAGAAGCAAAGGGCCAGUAUGGAAAUUACCAGCAAUGAGAGAUGGUCACAGCAUUCUCCACAGCUCGGCUCUGAUCUCAGUCCGAGCUUUGACCUCUGCUCCGCUCUAAAAGCAGAUCCUCUCGGACUCAAAACAAUCCAGCUACACGCCCCUCCCCCCUCCUCCUCCUCCUCCUCCUCCUCCUCCUCCAUCAUGAGCGCCGGCAUGAUAAUGUCAGUGUCCAUGACUCACGUACGUCUCAAAGCAGCAAUGCCUUAAAAUAACGAAGAAAAAAAACGGGGGGGGUGGGGGGAGAAAAAUGGAACUUGCCUUAUAAAUUUUAGCAUUGCAGAUUGUGAAAGUGAAAUUUGGGCUCACAGAAGAUCUAAAAUGUACAGUUUCAACCUGCUCCAGGUGCAUUGUUUCUCUCUUCCUUCAGCUCCCUGAUCACAAGAAGCAAUAAUGCCAGCAGAGGGGGAGGGUGUGGGGGGGUGGGGAGGGGCGGGGUCACUGUUUUAGGGACUUUAAAAAGGUGAAAUAAUGCACCGGGUGAACUUCCAGCUAGGCCAUGGUACACGUCUUGAUGUAUGUGAUGAUGUAAAAAUCUAUUUUAAUGCUUUUUAGAUCGAGCUAACUUUGUAUCAGACAUGGGAAACUAGUACUAAAGCUGUGUGGUUUAUUUCAUGAAGUGUAUGUGUCAAUGUUUGUUUGUUCGUUCGUUUGUUUUUUUUUUUAUUUAAUUUUUUAAAAUGUUCCUCGAUCCCUUCCAGCUCGACUUUAUCAACAACGUGUAAAAUCUCUUCAAAUGACCCAAAUUGGAUGUUUUUCUGACAGAAUAAUGAGCUUCGUUUGAAGUCAUAUGUAGCAGGUUGUGGCGAAAAGCUUUGAAAGGUCAAACACGAUAAACAUCUCCUGUCUUGUUGGUCGGCCGGUAGCUGGACCCCCCCCCCCCCCCCCCCCCCCCCCUCCCCGUCCCUUCCCCAAUAAACGUCUAAGUUGAUGUCAUUCGAAUCGUGUCGUGUGUGAAUAAUAAAGAUUGUUACUGUCAAAUAUGUAACAUAAGAUGUGAAAAUAAUGUUCUGAGAUGGGUUUCCUUGGCUUCACAGUGCAGUUUUAUAUCACUGGCUUGAUAUCUGUAUUAUGGUGCAUAUUUUAUUGAUCCCACGUGUACAGCGGAGUAAAAGAAGAGGAUCUCCUCUGCUAUUGUUUAUAUGGCUGUUUUAAUAUUUUUCAUUCUGCACCCCAUUCCAGUGGUGGUCACAUUUGUGUCAUGGCAAUGUAUAACUGUACAUUAUAAUAAAAUGCAAGAAUCUUU